UAAAAAAAGGUAAGCUACUAAGAGCGAAUGGUGGAUGCCUUGACUGGUAAAGGCGAUGAAGGACGUACUAGACUGCGAUAAGCUACGGGGAGCUGUCAAGAAGCUUUGAUCCGUAGAUUUCCGAAUGGGGCAACCCAAUGUAUAGAGAUAUACAUUACCUAUAUAGGAGCGAACGAGGGGAAUUGAAACAUCUUAGUACCCUCAGGAAAAGAAAUCAAUAGAGAUUGCGUCAGUAGCGGCGAGCGAAAGCGCAAGAGGGCAAACCCAGUGCUUGCACUGGGGGUUGUAGGACUGCAAUGUGCAAGAGCUGAGUUUAGCAGAACAUUCUGGAAAGUAUAGCCAUAGAGGGUGAUAGUCCCGUAUGCGAAAAACAAAGCUUAGCUAGCAGUAUCCUGAGUAGGGCGGGACACGAGGAAUCCUGUCUGAAUCCGGGUCGACCACGAUCCAACCCUAAAUACUAAUACCAGAUCGAUAGUGCACAAGUACCGUGAGGGAAAGGUGAAAAGAACUGAGGUGAUCAGAGUGAAAUAGAACCUGAAACCAUUUGCUUACAAUCAUUCAGAGCACUAUGUAGCAAUACAGUGUGAUGGACUGCCUUUUGCAUAAUGAGCCUGCGAGUUGUGGUGUCUGGCAAGGUUAAGCAAACGCGAAGCCGUAGCGAAAGCGAGUCUGAAUAGGGCGCUUAGUCAGAUGCUGCAGACCCGAAACGAAGUGAUCUAUCCAUGAGCAAGUUGAAGCUAGUGUAAGAACUAGUGGAGGACUGAACCCAUAGGCGUUGAAAAGCCCCGGGAUGACUUGUGGAUAGGGGUGAAAGGCCAAUCAAACUUCGUGAUAGCUGGUUCUCUCCGAAAUAUAUUUAGGUAUAGCGUUGUGUCGUAAUAUAAGGGGGUAGAGCACUGAAUGGGCUAGGGCAUACACCAAUGUACCAAACCCUAUCAAACUCCGAAUACCUUAUAUGUAAUCACAGCAGUCAGGCGGCGAGUGAUAAAAUCCGUCGUCAAGAGGGAAACAACCCAGACUACCAGCUAAGGUCCCUAAAUCUUACUUAAGUGGAAAACGAUGUGAAGUUACUUAAACAACCAGGAGGUUGGCUUAGAAGCAGCCAUCCUUUAAAGAAAGCGUAAUAGCUCACUGGUCUAGUGAUUUUGCGCGGAAAAUAUAACGGGGCUAAAGUAAGUACCGAAGCUGUAGACUUGCACACAACUUAGAUUAUUUAAGUUUAGAAUAUGAGAAACUAAGUUAUAUGUUUAGUUAUAUUUUUACUGAUUUUUAUAGAGUAAAGAUAGAAAUAAAACUUAGUAAAAUCAGUAAAAAUAUUCUUAGGCUAAAGUUAAGUAGUUUAAGUUGUGUGCAAGUGGUAGGAGAGCGUUCUAUUUGCGUCGAAGGUAUACCGGUAAGGAGUGCUGGAGCGAAUAGAAGUGAGCAUGCAGGCAUGAGUAGCGAUAAUUAAUGUGAGAAUCAUUAACGCCGUAAACCCAAGGUUUCCUACGCGAUGCUCGUCAUCGUAGGGUUAGUCGGGUCCUAAGUCGAGUCCGAAAGGGGUAGACGAUGGCAAAUUGGUUAAUAUUCCAAUACCAACAUUAGUGUGCGAUGGAAGGACGCUUAGGGCUAAGGGGGCUAGCGGAUGGAAGUGCUAGUCUAAGGUUGUAGGAGGUUAUACAGGCAAAUCCGUAUAACAAUACUCCGAGAACUGAAAGGCUUUUUGAAGUCUUCGGAUGGAUAGAAGAACCCCUGAUGCCGUCGAGCCAAGAAAAGUUUCUAAGUUUAGCUAAUGUUGCCCGUACCGUAAACCGACACAGGUGGGUGGGAUGAGUAUUCUAAGGCGCGUGGAAGAACUCUCUUUAAGGAACUCUGCAAAAUAGCACC
rnacentral:rRNA from 1 species